GGCAGAAUAAUUUAUAAAAAAUAUUAUCUUGCAAGGAUAAAUUUGGUCUUUGAUCUUUUGCCU
rnacentral:tRNA from 1 species